rfam:Photorhabdus luminescens subsp. laumondii TTO1 complete genome
UAUCCGGGACGACCUGGAUAUACUGCCGUUUUCUGGGGACGACUCCA